CUGUGCUAAUUCUGCUCUGUUAAUCACCUUAGCAUCAAUGUAAGGUGCUUCACGCCAAUGGACACUUAGGUGGGUCACGGCUCAGUGACACCUUUGCUCUUUCUGCAUCAGCACCUGCACAGAGGUGACUUGUCCCUUGCCUUUGGUGACCUUCCCCAUUGUCAGGCCACCAGUGCCAUUGGGCAGAACCAGGAGAAAGGAGGGAAGCACCAAUCCAACUUUCCAUCAGACUGAGGGCAGUGAUAAAUAAUGUCUCAGGAGAGCUGGAGCAGUGUCUGAUGAUCCCAUGGUGCUUUUGGGCAAGGGAAGUUUUGCAACCACCCCAAAAUCUUGGCAGUUCUGGCAGAUAUUAGUCCUUAAUAGGAGAGGGAAACUGGGUUCCAAAUCUGAUUCAUUUCACACUGGAAUGAUGUUUUUGUGGAGAAGACCUCGUGGGCUGUGUUUGAGUAGUGCCUGAACAAACUGAAUUGGGAAACCCCAAACCCACAGCUUUCUGUUGUCAGCAGUUGGGCAUUGCUACUUUCUCCUCACUGUGCUGGUUUUAAAAGCCUGGCUUUACACAUUCACAAUACACAAAUUGCUUGAGUUCCCAAACCCUCUCUCUUACUGCAGCAUGUGGGACUCAUCCCUGUCCCAACACCACCACAUCCAGGAGAGCUUCUCUGGAACCAUUUACUAAAUAAUUCACAAGAGACCUUAAAAACUGUUCCUCUCUGUUUAGAGAGGGACAUUGCAGAAAGGAAAUUGCACCUUAAUCUCCGUCCUCUGUUUUGUGUUUGAUUCAUUUGUGCAGGCUCAACAUCUCUUUGCUUUUAAUUCUUUAUUUUAUGCAGACAGAAACAUUCCCAGGGAAUGCUUUGGGCGGGAAGGGGUCUCUAAAGAUCAUCCAGUUCUGGACUUGCCAAGAAGCUCCUGCUGCACCAUUCAAGCCCAGACAUUCUGUUACUGUGGAGCUGUUGAUUUUCUCCGGGGAUGUGGAAGGAGUCAUGGUGCUGGAAUGCUGCUGGAACACUGUGGCUUCACCAUUCCUUGCCCUCUAGUGCUGUUGGAUUCCGUUUCACUUGCAUACCUUCACCAAAUCAGGUGUUCAGUUUUAGCACUCUGAGCUCCAACAUGAUGGGCAGACAAGAACGAGCAAGGCAUGGAAUUGGAACUGGCAGCAGCGCUUCGAUUUCUGUUCACAUUUUAUUUCCCCCUCCCCAGGGUAAUGGUGAAGCACAGGCUCUGCUGCUUGGCUCCAUUUGGAGUUGUGAGCAUGGCCUAAAGGUUUGUGGACUUGCAAAGGCUGAUAAUUUAAACUCUGAAUGAUUUACCUGGAGAUGCCAGACCAGGAACUGGCUCCAGCUGAGAAACCAACAGCAUCUUCAGCUCAGAAUCCAAACUUCCAGGUUUUAUCAGGCAUCUGUAAGCAAUAAGGGGACAAAACACCUAGAGAAAGUGCAAUAUGGCUCCUAUGUUUUAUAAAAAACUGCAGCUGCUGCUUAAUGAAGGCCAGGCUAAUUGAGGCCAAUUAAAUUAAUCAGACAAGUGAACCAGCCACACCCAUUCCAAGGAGGAUGGGUGCAAUCACAGGUAAUUACUGUCAUUAAUCCUCUACUUGUCAUCCCCACAGCCAGCACCUGGCCAAAGAGGUUGGGGAGUUACCUAACUGUGCUCAGGAGGGUGCUGCAGGCGAAGGUGGUGCUUCCAGAGUUUUAAAAACCUGUUGCAAGAAGGAAGCUCACAAAUGUGGAAGUGUUCAAGAUCAGCUUGGAGGGGAUAAAAACUCUACACCUGAAGCCGUUUCUCCCCAUGCUGAUGCCACACACAGAUUAUGGUGUGAAGAAGUUUCCUGAAACCUCUAGAACUGGGCUGCUGCAGAUACAAAUGAAUGACCUUUAUCAAGAGAAAAAGUGGACAAGAUUUCAUCUCAUCAUUUUUCAGAGAAACUGGUGAGUUAAGAGUCAUCAGAAAGCUGAGCUGAAAAUUCUGUUUCAGUCAUUUUGAUGGCAGAUUU